AUUGAACGCUGGCGGCAGGCCUAACACAUGCAAGUCGAGCGGAUGAAGGGAGCUUGCUCCUGGAUUCAGCGGCGGACGGGUGAGUAAUGCCUAGGAAUCUGCCUGGUAGUGGGGGAUAACGCCCGGAAACGGGCGCUAAUACCGCAUACGUCCUGAGGGAGAAAAUGGGGGAUCUUCGGACCUCACGCUAUCAGAUGAGCCUAGGUCGGAUUAGCUAGUUGGUGGGGUAAAGGCCUACCAAGGCGACGAUCCGUAACUGGUCUGAGAGGAUGAUCAGUCACACUGGAACUGAGACACGGUCCAGACUCCUACGGGAGGCAGCAGUGGGGAAUAUUGGACAAUGGGCGAAAGCCUGAUCCAGCCAUGCCGCGUGUGUGAAGAAGGUCUUCGGAUUGUAAAGCACUUUAAGUUGGGAGGAAGGGCAGUAAGUUAAUACCUUGCUGUUUUGACGUUACCAACAGAAUAAGCACCGGCUAACUUCGUG
rnacentral:rRNA from 1 species